rnacentral:rRNA from 1 species
UACGGAGGGAGCUAGCGUUGUUCGGAAUUACUGGGCGUAAAGCGCACGUAGGCGGCUUUUUAAGUCAGGGGUGAAAUCCCGGGGCUCAACCCCGGAACUGCCCUUGAAACUGGGAAGCUAGAAUCUUGGAGAGGCGAGUGGAAUUCCGAGUGUAGAGGUGAAAUUCGUAGAUAUUCGGAAGAACACCAGUGGCGAAGGCGACUCGCUGGACAAGUAUUGACGCUGAGGUGCGAAAGCGUGGGGAG